rnacentral:rRNA from 1 species
AUUGAACGCUGGCGGAAUGCUUUACACAUGCAAGUCGAACGGCAGCACGGACUUCGGUCUGGUGGCGAGUGGCGAACGGGUGAGUAAUGUAUCGGAACGUGCCCAGUCGUGGGGGAUAACGUAGUGAAAAUUACGCUAAUACCGCAUACGAUCUAUGGAUGAAAGCGGGGGAUCGCAAGACCUCGCGCGAUUGGAGCGGCCGAGAUCAGAUUAGGUAGUUGGUGGGGUAAAGGCCCACCAAGCCAACGAUCUGUAGCUGGUCUGAGAGGACGACCAGCCACACUGGAACUGAGACACGGUCCUGACUCCUACGGGAGGCAGCAGUGGGGAAUUUUGGACAAUGGGCGAAAGCCUGAUCCAGCCAUUCCGCGUGCAGGAUGAAGGCCCUCGGGUUGUAAACUGCUUUUGUACAGAACGAAAAGGUUUCUACUAAUACUAGGAGCUCAUGACGGUACUGUAAGAAUAAGCACCGGCUAACUACGUGCCAGCAGCCGCAGUAA